rnacentral:rRNA from 1 species
UACGGAGGGUGCGAGCGUUGUCCGGAAUCAUUGGGCGUAAAGGGCGCGUAGGUGGCCCGGUCAGUCUUUGGUGAAAGCGCGGGGCUCAACCCUGCGUCGGCCAGGGAUACUGCCGCGGCUCGAGCACUGUAGAGGCAGGCGGAAUUCCGGGUGUAGCGGUGGAAUGCGUAGAGAUCCGGAAGAACACCGGUGGCGAAGGCGGCCUGCUGGGCAGUUCCUGACGCUGAGGCACGAAGGCCAGGGGAGCAAACGGG